ncrna:unclassified sequences L4-Archaeoglobi ribosomal protein leader
CUGAUUGAACGCGCCGGGCGAACGUGAAAACGAGCCCACUUUCUGCAUAGCCGGAAAGCGCGUCCGGGUCAG